AUAUGAAGUGACUGGUUGCAGCGAGUACAUGGAGCAGGCUGAUAAAGCCGCCCACCCAGAGCUGAGCAGCUUCCUCUCGUCUGCUAGAGGUGCCUAGCAGCUCCACUCAGUCACAGCCUGCUGCAGGCCUGCAGACGAGAGCAGAUGAUAGCCCUGGAGGCCAGCCCUAUCCUGACCAGCUCUCAUCAGUGCUUUCUGGGCAGUGUUCAUGUAUUGCCUGAUCAUGUAUUGCCUGACCCAUCUCUGCAGGAAGGUACUCUGAUGAUCCACACUACUGCUUUUAUUUAAUUUAAUUCAUUUAAUUAGCCACAUCUGAGCAUUAGUAACAUUUCACUAGACAAACAGUGAAGCUCAAACCAUUAAAGAACAAUAGAGAGGCAUUUUCCUUCUCACAUAAAUGUGUGAAGUUGUGCUAGAUUGGAAGGAACACAUCUGACACACUAUUAAACUUUAACAACUGUAAAUGAAGAAUCAGAAAUGACUGCUGAAAUCAUUUUAAGCCUUUGUCUCUAAUUGAAAUUGCUGUAAUAGUGUGACAGCUGUGCCUGGUUUUAGUGUUCUGUCCUUGGUUGAGAAAAAAAGAGUUCAAUAUUUCAGAACACCACAGUGUUUGCUGAACCACAAGGAUGCAAAAUUAAACAUUUAUAAGAACAAUAUGUUUGCAUCAGAUUGCCCACACAGCUCAAUCAAUAGGAUAACGCACACUGAAUUAUUCAGAGUUGUUUUAUUUAUUUACAGUAUUAUUAACUUUUGGGGACCACAGAGUGAAACAGGCACUGGGUAGUUUUCUGUUUGGUUUUAUUUAUUGAGGAUUUUGUGAUCUUAAGUUAAAAACUGCUCAUGUGUGGCCUAGUCUUCCCUCUCAUAACCACACAACUUGUAUAUUAGGAUUUACUUGAUUUAAAUAUGUACAUAAUUUCCACAUGAAUAAAACAUCAUUGUUGUCCAAUAAAAAAACAAAUAUCUCUGUUUUUCAUUAUUUGAGCAAAAAUCUCCACACAUGAAGAACAUUUGGUAACACUUUAUUUGAAGGCUAUCUACAUAAGGGCUUCAUGACGCAUUCAUAAGCACUGAAUAAUGUGUUUAUGAAGCACUAGUUGAACAUUUAUUAAGUGCUUAUGUUGGUUCUCGCAACCUGACAUAAGAUGUUUUAUGAAAUAAAUGACAUUAUACUGACAUAAUAUGAAUAAACCUUGAACAUAUUUACAGCACUAAACAUUUAAAACACUAUACAUAACUUUAUGUCAGCAUUCUUAAGAUGACAUUGUACUGAUAUGCCUGGAAACCACCCCCUCUUCCCUCCAUGGCAUAGAUAAGAUGAUUGAUGCAAUUGCGUAUAGUGUUUUAAAUGUUUAGUGCUGUAAAUAUGUUCAAGGUUUAUUCAUAUUAUGUCAGUACAAUGUCAUUUAUUUCAUAAAACAUCUUGUCAGGUUGCGAGAACCGACAUAAGCACUUAAUAAAUGUUCAAGUAGUGCUUCAUAAACACAUUAUUCAGUGCUUAUGAGUGUGUUAUGAAGCCCUUAUGUAGGUAGCCUUCAAAUAAAGUGUUACCCAUUUAGCCUUCUCCUGUAAAGUUUUUUUAUCCCCAUUAUGGAGAUGUUUUUUUUUUGCACAAG
ensembl:lncRNA